rnacentral:rRNA from 1 species
UUGAACGCUGGCGGAAUGCUUUACACAUGCAAGUCGAGCGGCAGCGCGGGGGCAACCCUGGCGGCGAGCGGCGAACGGGUGAGUAACAUAUCGGAACGUACCCUGUCGUGGGGGAUAACACAGCGAAAGCUGUGCUAAUACCGCAUACGACCUGAGGGUGAAAGCGGGGGAUCGCAAGACCUCGCGCGAUAGGAGCGGCCGAUAUCGGAUUAGCUUGUUGGUGAGGUAAAGGCUCACCAAGGCGACGAUCCGUAGCUGGUCUGAGAGGACGACCAGCCACACUGGAACUGAGACACGGUCCAGACUCCUACGGGAGGCAGCAGUGGGGAAUUUUGGACAAUGGGCGAAAGCCUGAUCCAGCCAUACCGCGUGAGUGAAGAAGGCCUUCGGGUUGUAAAGCUCUUUCAGCCGGAAAGAAAUUGCUUCUAUUAAUACUAGGAGUAGAUGACGGUACCGGAAGAAGAAGCACCGGCUAACUACGU